CCGGUAGCUAAAUGCGGAAGAGAUAAGUGCUGAAAGCAUCUAAGCACGAAACUUGCCCCGAGAUGAGUUCUCCCUGAGACUUUAAGUCUCCUGAAGGAACGUUAAAGACGAUGACGUUGAUAGGUCGGGUGUGUAAGCGCAGCGAUGCGUUGAGCUAACCGAUACUAAUGAACCGUGAGGCUUAACCUUACAACGCCGAAGGUGUUU
rnacentral:rRNA from 1 species